rnacentral:rRNA from 1 species
CCUACGGGUGACAGCAGUGGGGGAUAUUGCACAAUGGGGGCAACCCUGAUGCAGCGACGCCGCGUGAGCGAUGGAGUACUUCGGUAUGUAAAGCUCUGUCAGCAGGGAAGAGAAUGACGGUACCUGACCAAGAAGCCCCGGCUAAAUACGUGCCAGCAGCCGCGGUAAUACGUAUGGGGCAAGCGUUAUCCGGAUUUACUGGGUGUAAAGGGAGCGUAGGCGGCAGGGCAAGCCUGAUGUGAAAGCCCGGGGCUCAACCCCGGGACUGCAUUGGGAACUGCCCCGCUCGAGUGCCGGAGGGGCAGGCGGAAUUCCUAGUGUAGCGGUGAAAUGCAUAGAUAUCACGCAGAACCCCGAUUGCGAAGGCAGCCUUCCGGCGCCCUACUGACGCUGAGGCACGAAAGUGCGGGGAUCGAACAGGAUUAGAUACCCUGGUAGUC